UCCAUAUUUCUGUAUGAUUACUUGAUACGACUUUGCAGAUCUUGAAGUUUUCUGAUCAAUAUCUGAUACUCUAUUAUAACAGCUGCUGUUUUUGAAGAGGUUUCUAGCUGAUGGAUUUAAAAAACAUAUGGACUUGCAGCUGCUACUGACAAGAGACGACUUCUAUGCUAUAAGAUUUAUGUACUGCCAUGAGCCUCCUACUUGAGGUUAUCCGUAAGGAAAGGGUGCAGUGUCAAAGGAAUGGUU